UACGUGGGAUGCGAGCGUUAUCCGGAUUUACUGGGCGUAAAGAGUUCGUAGGCGUCUUGGCGCAUUUCAUUUCAAAUUCCGAGGCUUAACCUCGGGCAGGGAUGAAAGAUGACCAGAAUUGAGUUGGCUAGGGGGUACUGGAACUCAUGGUGUAGCAGUGAAAUGCGUUGAUAUCAUGAGGAACACCAAGGGCGAAGGCAGGUACCUGGGGCCACACUGACGCUGAGGAACGAAAGCUAGGGGAGCGAAAGGG
rnacentral:rRNA from 1 species